rnacentral:rRNA from 1 species
UACGUAGGGUGCGAGCGUUGUCCGGAAUUAUUGGGCGUAAAGGGCUCGUAGGCGGUUUGUCGCGUCGGGUGUGAAAACCUCGGGCUUAACUCGGGGCUCGCUUUCGAUACGGGCAGACUUGAGUACUGCAGGGGAGACUGGAAUUCCUGGUGUAGCGGUGAAAUGCGCAGAUAUCAGGAGGAACACCGGUGGCGAAGGCGGGUCUCUGGGCAGUAACUGACGCUGAGGAGCGAAAGCGUGGGGAGCAAACAGG